rnacentral:rRNA from 1 species
AUUGAACGCUGGCGGCAGGCCUAACACAUGCAAGUCGAACGAGUGGCGGACGGGUGCGUAAUGUCUGGGACACUGCCUGAUGGCGGGGGAUAACUACUGGAACCGGUAGCUAAUACCGCCUACCAUUGGAGUUGCCCAGAUGGGAUUAGCUAGUUGGUGGGGUAACGGCUCACCAAGGCGACGAUCCCUAGCUGGUCUGAGAGGAUGAACAGCCACACUGGAACUGAGACACGGCCCAGACGCCGACGGGAGGCAGCAGUGGGGAAUAUUGCACAAUGGGGGCAACCCUGAUGCAGCCAUGCCGCGUGUAUGAAGAAGGCCUUAGGGUUGUAAAGUACUUUCAGCGGGGAGGCGUUACCCGCAGAAGAAGCACCGGCUAACUCCGUGCCAGCAGCCGCGGUAAUAC